rnacentral:rRNA from 1 species
UACGUAGGGGGCGAGCGUUGUCCGGAUUCAUUGGGCGUAAAGAGCUCGUAGGCGGCUUGGCAAGUCGGGUGUGAAAACUCCAGGCUCAACCUGGAGAUGCCACCCGAUACUGCUAUGGCUUGAGUUCGGUAGGGGACCACGGAAUUCCUGGUGUAGCGGUGCAAUGCGCAGAUAUCAGGAGGAACACCGAUGGCGAAGGCAGGUCUCUGGGCCAUAACUGACGCUGAGAAGCGAAAGCAUGGGGAGCGAACAGG